GUAUGAAGUUCUGAACUCAGAUUAGAAGUAGAUAUGAUCUACUACUCAUAUGCAUGCAUGCUGAUUUUAUCUUCAGAUUAUUUUAGAUUUUAUAUGUAAUAUAACAUGUCAUAGAUCCUAGAGUAGAUUGAUUUAAAGAUUAGAUCAUAUGCAUGUUAGAUUAAUUUGAUUAAUCUAGUUAUCUUCUGUAAUAUUUUUUUCAAAAAAGUUUUAAAAUAAAUGCAUGAAAUCGUCUACGCAUCUCAAU
rnacentral:lncRNA from 1 species